GUGUACAAAGACUAUUUACCUCCACCGCAGCACUAGGGUUCAGCCUCAUCGGCGGACUAGAUUUUUCACAAGUUUCCGGCCGUGCCUUGAGUACCUGUUGCCUGCCUCUCCCUGCACGGCUGAUCGGAGCAUCCCCUUCAUCCUCAUCAUCUUCGUCGUCUAACAACGGAAAGAGAAUGGACUUCUUGAGCAGCAUCACUGUUGUGAUUCUUGAUCAUGCAUGGGCUCCAGUUAGACGCCACUGUGGUUACCUUAUGUCCUACAAAAGCAAAAUUGAGAAAUUGAAGACAAAAUUUGAUGAACUAGAUGAUCUUCGGAAGGAAGUUCAAGAAAAGGUUGAUGCAGCGAAACUUGAAAGAGUUGAAGAUGCCAAAAGUGUAGUUCAAACUUGGUUGAGAACUGUGGACAGAAUGGAAAAACGAGGUGAAGAAAAUCAAUGAUGAAGCUUCGGUAAUCUCCAACAGUUGCUUUUCUAAACAUAAAUUUACACUAUAAACUUGGAAGAGAAGCGGCUAAUCUUGCAGUGGCCAUUGAUGAUCUCACAAAAAAAAGCAAGUUUGAGAGUGUGUCUCACAAGUGCCCACCCCCAAGCACUACAGAUUCACUGUUGUUUAAUGAAGAUUAUGUGAUUUUCAGUUCAAGGAAGUCACGCGUGAAGAAAAUACUUUGAAUCACUGAAGGAUGAAGCUGUGCAUUCAAUUGGGCUUUGGGGCAUGGGAGGAGUGGGAAAGACAACAUUAGUUAAAGACAUUGCGAAGCAAGCCAAGGAGCAGAGCUUGUUUGGUGAGGUGGUGAUGGUGACCAUAUCACAAAACAUAGAUCUAAAGAGAAUUCAAACUGUCAUAGCAGAGAGUUUGGGUUUGGAUCUCAACGAAGAUAGUGUAGAGGUAAGAGCUGUCAAGCUUGCAGACAGAUUAACAGAUACAGAAAACAAAGUACUGGUGAUAUUAGAUGAUUUAUGGGAAAAGUUGGAUCUGUCAAAAGUUAUGAUUCCACGUUCACAGAUGGGUACCACUUGCAAAGUGGUGAUAACAACAAGAAACAAAGAUGUCUGUGAAAGAAUGAGCUGCCAAGAGAUAGUUGAGUUGAAGAAAUUAUCAGAUGAAGAAUCUUGGAGUCUAUUCAGGAGUAGAGCAGGGGAUGCAGUGGAGUCUCGCACAAUGAGGGAAUUGGCACGGAAUGUGGCCAGAGAGUGUGAUGGUCUGCCUCUGGCACUGGUGGUUCUUGGCGCAGCACUAAAGGGUAAGAGACCUGAGAUUUGGAAUACAGUGUUGAAGCAGCUAAAGCUGUCGAGGGAGGUGGAUCUCCUUGGUGUGAGUAAAGAAGUUUUUCAAUCCAUCAAACUAAGUUUCGAUUUCUUGGAGAGUGAGGCAACCGAGUCUUGUUUCCUGCACUGUUGUCUCUACCCAGAAGAUUGGGAUAUUCCUAACGAAGAACUGAUGCAUAUGAUGGUAGGAGGGGGCCUCUUAAUUGGUGUUGAAACUCUGAACGAUGCUCAGGGUAGGGUGGAUUUACUGCUUGACCAACUUAAAGCUCGUGGUUUGCUUCUUCAAGGUUCAUCUGAAAGCUGUGUAAGCAUGCAUGAUGUUGUUAGAGAUGUGGCGAUACAUAUCAGUGAGAAAGAUCAUGUGUUCUAUGUAAGAGCUGGGCAAAGCUGGGAAAAGUGGCCAAGAACUGUUGAAAGUGAGAUGAGAAAUUGCCGACGGCUUUCACUGAUGAACAAUGAUAUCAAAGAUCUUCCUCCUAAUCCAAUGGAGUAUCCAAAACUUGAGACGUUGAUCUUGAGAGACAAUGCAUGGUUAGCAAGCAUCCCAGAAAUGUUCUUCCAACAUAUGGGAUGUCUGAUGGUUCUUGACUUGAGUUCUACCAGAAUUAAAUCUCUACCGAAAUCAGUCUCUUGUCUCACUAAUCUCAAAGUAUUAAACCUUAGAAAUUGUCAUUAUCUGAAAGAUAUUUCUCACAUUAAUGGGUUGAAGGUGCUUGAAAUGCUUAUUCUGAAAGGUUCUCCGGUGUCCAUUGCUCCAGAAGGUGUAGGAUGGACACAAAAUCUGAGAUUUGUUGAUUUGAAUUAUUCAAUGAAUGAUUAUUUUUCCAAGGGAUUCCCAAGAUUUCACAGGCUAGAACAAUUGUUCAUGGACAAGUUUGCAGGUAGCUUUCGAGAGUUGAUCAUAAGUUUGAGGCAUCUAACUCACCUAUUUAUCGAAGAAGUGGUGGACUUAGAUGAUCCCUUAUCACAUGAACUAGUCUCACCAGGUUCUUGGCCUGAUCGACUUCUAAAAUUCAGUCUUUCUUUUGUCGAAAGUCAGCCAUGGCAUUUUUUUCUUUCCAAGGAUAGAAGAGGGUUGAAACUGAUGGGAACCAAGCCCUUGGCUGUUUGGGUCAAGAGAUUACUUGAAACAACAAGACAGUUGGUAUUAGUAGAAUUCCAGGAAACUGAACUGAUUUCCAUCAACAGCGAUAUCCCACCUCUCGUGUUCUCAAGUUUGGAGUAUCUUGAAGUUGUCAACUCGCCAAAGUUGACCAAAUUGUCAGGUGAUGAGUUAUCAUUGCAUGAAGAAAUCCCACUCAGCCAACUAAAACUAAUGUUCAUAGGCAAUUGUCCCAGGUUGACCAAGUUAAUACCAUCGAGACUUUGCCAGCGGAGUAUGCAGAAACUAUUGAGACUAGAAGUUAAGGAUUGCCCUAUGAUGUUGGAACUGUUCCCAUGUGAUGAAGGAGCCCACGACAUAACUGAAUUGCUGCCAUGGCUAUGGUGUCUUGUUUUAAAAGGCCUACAGCGUCUACAGAAUGUAUUACAACCAUUCCAACGUCUACCAAACUUAAAGGAAUUUUAUAUCCAUAAUAAUUGUGGAGUGAGAUAUGUAGUUUCAUCUAAGAUGGAGACUGUGACAAUGGCAGAUCCUUUUCCAGCACUAGAGAAUCUUGAGAUCAUAAAUUGCCAAGAGAUGAGUGAGAUGAUCUCUCCCCCUGCUUCUUUGCAAGCCCCGUGCUUCUUCCAGAGACUUAGAGAACUCCAUAUCGAGUCAUGUCCAAGACUAACGCAUCUUUUCUCAUACAAGCAAGCAAUAAGCAUGCAACAUUUGAGUGAUCUUUAUAUAAGAGAUUGUGCUGCAUUGGAGGCUGUGGUGAUUUCCAUGGAAAAUAAAGAGGAAGCAUUUGCAAGCACAUCCACAUUUGUUGUUGAUCAUGAAUCUUAUAAUAGCCCUUUCCCUAAUUUGACAAGACUCUUUCCUGUAUGAUUUGCCUCAGCUCACUGCCAUCCAUCACUCUGCAGCACUGCCCAUUGACUGGUUAUAUCUUGAGCGUUCCUGGGUACUGCAAUGCCCAAAACUACAGCAUCCAUUGUUCGGACCCCAUACACCUGCCCAUGAACAAAUGGUAGACCCAAGUGAUGGAGAGGAAGACGAGACAGAUGAUGCGGAAGGAGAAGAAGAAAAGGGAGGUGAUUUAGAACCCAAUUGGUAGCUUGAAGGAUAAAGGCCACUUUCAGUACGUGAUUGAUUAGCAUAACUCUUUCGAAUUGCAUGGUUUUGAGCUUUGACAGUCUCAGUGCCUUCUCAAUUUCAAGUUGAUGCUUAUAACCAUUCCUUGAUGUCUAGGUAGCUGUGCACCUUCACAAAGUUGGAAAUCACUUAUUAGUAACUAAAACAGGCAGCUGAUUUAGAUAUAUAUUACAGUGCAGUAGAAAUCAUAGAAUCAAACAGAAGACACAAAAUUGUUUUUAGCAUCAAACCAGUUAACAAUAAGAUUCAAUAGAAAUCUUUCUCACCAAACAACAACCUGAAAAAGAUUCUCUACAAAACUUCUGUUCCAUAAAACAGUAUUUAGCAUUCUAGAUCUAAUACCCUCCUUUUCAUUAUAGUUCAUAGAGCUCACUGUCUAAGAGUGUCCUUAGAUGCUGCAAUUAUUCCCACACAUUGCUGGGAUUGUGCAGAAUUUGCAAGGCCUUGGAAACUUCAACAGCUUACGAGCUCUGCAUGUUGUUUCUUGUCCAAAAAUGGCAUUCACCUUGUUAAAACAUACAGGUGGAAUGUAACAACUAGAAAAACUACAUGCAAAAGACAGCGCUGCAUUGGAGAGAAUUGUGGUUUAUGAAGUAGAAGAAGCAGAUGAAAUGCUUGUUUCCUCUAUUGAAGAAGCUUUUGUUAAUAAUAAGCUUGUCUGAACUCACUGCAUUACUCACAGAGACAGUGGGGUGGGAGUGGCCAUCUCUGGAAUAUCUUGAGCACAGGCUAUGCACUAAGAUUAUGCAGACUCCGCUGCUUGGUUCCUUGACAUCUGAAAGAAUUGGAAUGCUUGUAAAUGGAGGCAAUCUUGAUCAGAAAGGCAAUCCAUUAGUGACUUUCGGAUUAUGUAUUGUUUCAAAUUUCUGCUGGUGUUUGGCUACUGAUUGUUCAUUUGGUUUGUUUGUGUGUGUGUUCUGCUGCUUUGGAUAAAAAGGUUUCUGUUACUGGUUCUAUUUGUUUGGGGGAUUUGGAUUAAACUCUAUUGUAAUGUAUUGUUUGUAAUUUUAUAAUUGUUUGGGACGAAUAAGAUGUUGAAAUAAAAAGAAUUU